AUUGAACGCUGGCGGCAGGCCUAACACAUGCAAGUCGAGCGGAUGAGUGGAGCUUGCUCCAUGAUUCAGCGGCGGACGGGUGAGUAAUGCCUAGGAAUCUGCCUGGUAGUGGGGGACAACGUUUCGAAAGGAACGCUAAUACCGCAUACGUCCUACGGGAGAAAGUGGGGGAUCUUCGGACCUCACGCUAUCAGAUGAGCCUAGGGCGGAUUAGCUAGUUGGUGGGGUAAAGGCUCACCAAGGCGACGAUCCGUAACUGGUCUGAGAGGAUGAUCAGUCACACUGGAACUGAGACACGGUCCAGACUCCUACGGGAGGCAGCAGUGGGGAAUAUUGGACAAUGGGCGAAAGCCUGAUCCAGCCAUGCCGCGUGUGUGAAGAAGGUCUUCGGAUUGUAAAGCACUUUAAGUUGGGAGGAAGGGCAGUAAGUUAAUACCUUGCUGUUUUGACGUUAUCAACAGAAUAAGCACCGGCUAACUUCGUGCCAGCCGCCGCGGUAAUAC
rnacentral:rRNA from 1 species